GUCUUUUUGAUUUUAAUUUAAAGUCUAACCUGCCCAAUGAAGAUAAUUUAAUGGCCGCAGUAUUUUGACUGUGCAAAGGUAGCAUAAUCAUUAGUUUCUUAAUUAGAAACUGGAAUGAAUGGUUGGACGAGAAAAUAGCUGUCUCUUUAUAAAUUUUUUAGAAUUUUAUUUUUAAGUUAAAAAGCUUAAAUACCUUUAAAAGACGAGAAGACCCUAUAGAGUUUUAUAUAAUUAUUUUUAAAAGUUUUAUUUGAAAAUUUUAGAUUUUAUAAGUUUUUAUAUUUAAUUGGGGUGAUUAAAAAAUUUAAUUAACUUUUUUUUUAUAAAAACAUUAAUUUAUGAAUUAUUGAUCCAUAUUUUAUGAUUAAAAGAUUAAAUUACCUUAGGGAUAACAGCGUAAUUUCUUUGUAGAGUUCUAAUCGAUAAAGAAGUUUGCGACCUCGAUGUUGGAUUAAAAUUAAAUUUUGGUGUAGAAGCUAAAAAUUUUAGGUCUGUUCGACCUUUAAAAUUUUACAUGAUCUGAGUUUAAACCGGUGUGAGCCAGGUUGGUUUCUAUCUUUAAAAUUAUUUUAAAUAUUAUAGUACGAAAGGACCUAAUAUUUAUAAAAUUUAUUUUUUAUGCAUAUUAUUAAUUAUA
rnacentral:rRNA from 1 species